AUGGAAUUGGACACCUAGCAACAUCAGAACUUAAAGGAACAGGUGGUCAACAAAGUAAGCUUUAAGGAGGUUUCUAAAUGACAGAAGAGUCAAAAAGGUUUAAGUCAGGAUUUCUUCAUCGUAGGACCAGUGAAGGGAGCAAGCGAUGUGCCAGAAACCAGAAUUGCCUGGAGAUGAAGCCAUUUACACUGAACUUUUGUCAACUGAUGCACCUUCCCUUGCCAGAACCUUGAUGCAAUUCUGAGCUGCAGUGAGAGAUGUUGUCUGACCAGCUGAAUUCCUCCAGCGCCUUGUGAGUUAUGCUAGAUACAAGCUUGCUGACGAUGGAGAGACAGGUGG